CUUCUUCGAUCUGCUGCGGGCAGAUGAAAUGGAUGUGCGCGUCGAUGCCGCCGGCGGUGACGAUCAUCCCCUCGCCGGCGAUGAUCUCGGUGCUGCCGCCGAUGGCGAUCGUCACGCCCGGCUGGAUGUCCGCGUUGCCGGCCUUGCCGAUGGCGCUGAUCCGUCCGCCCUUGAUGCCGAUGUCGGCCUUGACGAUUCCCCAGUGGUCGACGAUCAGCGCGUUGGUGAUCACCGUAUCGGCGACCUCCGCGGCGCUCAGCUGGCCCUGCCCCAUGCCGUCGCGAAUG
rnacentral:sRNA from 1 species